CGCGGCCUAUCAGCUUGUUGGUGAGGUAAUGGCUCACCAAGGCGACGACGGGUAGCCGGCCUGAGAGGGCGACCGGCCACACUGGGACUGAGACAUGGCCCAGACUCCUACGGGAGGCAGCAGUGGGGAAUAUUGCACAAUGGGCGAAAGCCUGAUGCAGCGACGCCGCGUGAGGGAUGACGGCCUUCGGGUUGUAAACCUCUUUCAGCAGGGAAGAAGCGAAAGUGACGGUACCUGCAGAAGAAGCGCCGGCUAACUACGUGCCAGCAGCCGCGGUAAUACGUAGGGCGCAAGCGUUGUCCGGAAUUAUUGGGCGUAAAGAGCCCGUAGGCGGUCUGUCGCGUCGGAUGUGAAAGCCCGGGGCUUAACCCCGGGUCUGCAUUCGAUACGGGCAGACUAGAGUGUGGUAGGGGAGAUCGGAAUUCCUGGUGUAGCGGUGAAAUGCGCAGAUAUCAGGAGGAACACCGGUGGCGAAGGCGGAUCUCUGGGCCAUUACUGACGCUGAGGAGCGAAAGCGUGGGGAGCGAACAGGAUUAGAUACCCUGGUAGUCCACGCCGUAAACGGUGGGAACUAGGUGUUGGCGACAUUCCACGUCGUCGGUGCCGCAGCUAACGCAUUAAGUUCCCCGCCUGGGGAGUACGG
rnacentral:rRNA from 1 species